ensembl:lncRNA
UGUAGGGUGUGUUUAAAUAUACAAAAUAAUCGAUAACUGCAAAAAAAAAAAAAAAAAAUCUAAUUCUGGCAAUAAUCUGAUCAUGGUCUUUAUAAGAGCUUGAUAAUCUGAUAAGAGGAAAGCUUCAGGUCUAUAUGAUUCAUGAGUCACUCUUUAAUUAGAUUUAAUGAAUCAUCACUUUUUAAAUACGAGCAGCUUGUAGGUAAUUCAGGUACGUUUCACUGUUUCUGUUUGAAUCACAGCCGAGUCGAGGUUACAGGCCGAUAUCGAGUCACUCCUGAGUCACUUUACUCGUAAACACUCAUCCAGGACUUUUUAUAAUCGCAGACUGAACAUAACACAGAGCUUUAUUGCCAUCUGUUUAUUUUUCUCUCGCCGAGUGUUAACAGCCGUUUGUGUCAGAUAGACAAGCACAGUAAUGGAUUUUGACGGCUUGUCAAUCAUGUAAGCCACGCCCCCUUAUCCAUGGUGAUGAGAGAGAGACGGAGAGAGAGUGACGCUGGUGAAAGCGUGUGAUUAUCGUCUAGACUCACUCAUUCAGAGGCCGUCAACAUAAACAAUAAUCACACUUUACAUUAUGUUUGUGCUAUAUUCAUUCCAUCAUUUCUUUAGUGCAGCUCUCUAAAAAUAACACACACACACACACAAUGAAGCGAGGUGGGGCAGCAGAGGAAAACAGCUGGCAGUAGGAGUGUGUGUGUGUGUGUGUAUGUGUGUGUGUGUGUGUGUGUGUGAUUACUGCACACAGUACUCUCUCUCUCUGUCUGUCGGUCUCUCUCUCUACGUGGUUAUGUAUAUGAGAUCCUGAUGAAGCUCUGAGGACUCUGUGCUAUUUUUUAACGUGACCUGGUUUAAAACACACACACACACACAAUGUUUCACCUUCAGGCAAUGAGAGAGAGAGAGAGAGAGAGAGAGAGAGAGAGAGAGAGAGAGAGAGAAACAGAGACAAACACACACAACACACAGAAAUACAGAGAGAGAGGGUGAAAGACACACACGUACACAGAGAAAGAGAGGAAAAAGAAAUGAAAAAGAAAAAAGAGGGAGAAAGAAAAAGAGAGAAAUGCACACACAGAGAGAAAGAUGGACUGAGAGAGCGACAGAGGAAAAAGAAAAUGAGAGAGAGAGGGAGGGAGAGGGAGGGAGAGAGAGAGCGAUAGAAUGCUGAAUUAUAAUCAUGAGCUCGUUAUUCAUAUAAUGUUAUGUUUUCAGGUUUUAUAUGUUGAAAUGUUGCAUACAGCAGUUUAUUUAUUUAUUUAUUUAUUUAUUUAUUUAUUUAUGUGUUUAUUAUAUGUGUAAGUAUUUUGUGCAGAUUUUUAAAAUAGAUUGAUAGUUAUUUUAUGAAUAUUUCAUCUUUUAAAGUUUUUUUUAAUUUUUGUAAAAAAAAAUAAAUGCUCUAUCAAUAAUAAUAAUAAUGAACAGAAAUAUAAUUCUUACAGAUCAAUAAUACUUUAUUAUUUAAAUGUUGUUUUAAAAAAAAAAAAUUAUUUCUAGUCAAUUUGUGUUUAAAUUUGAGUCUCUUAAAGGGAAUCACCGAAUACAGAGCCCCUUUAACCUUCACACACAAACGGUGAGGAUUUUUGUGGCUCUGAAGCAGAAAGGAGGAGGAGGAGGAAGAGGAAGAGGAAGAGAAGGAGGAGGAGGAGGUGGACGAG